CAGCCGCCACGGUAAUACGGAAGGUCCGGGCGUUAUCCGGAUUUAUUGGGUUUAAAGGGAGCGUAGGCCGUGGAUUAAGCGUGUUGUGAAAUGCAGGUGCUCAACGUCAGCACUGCAGCGCGAACUGGUCCACUAGAGUGUGCGCAACGCAGGCGGAAUUCGUCGUGUAGCGGUGAAAUGCUUAGAUAUGACGAAGAACUCCGAUUGCGAAGGCAGCUUGCGGGAGCACAACUGACGCUGAAGCUCGAAAGUGCGGGUAUCGAACAGGAUUAGAUACCCGAGUAGUCCCUGUCUCUUAUAC
rnacentral:rRNA from 1 species